rnacentral:lncRNA from 13 species
GGUCCUGUAUCAGUGUUGUUAUUGGGGGAAGCUGGCCCUGUAUCAGUGUUGUUAUUGGAGGAAGCUGGCCCUGUAUCAGUGUCAGUGUUGUUAUUUGGGGAAACAGGCCCUCUAUCAAUGUUGUUAUUUGGGGGGUAGCACUAUUCACUAUCCAGAGGAAGGAGGGGUGGGGGGGUCAUAGGUCAUAGGUCAUGUUAUCAUACAGUUAGAGGAACUGAGAAGAAAAGGUGCUGUGUGCAGAAGUUGCACUAUAACUACUUUAGAAAUAUAAAUGUCUUUGUAAAUAAAUACACGCAUAAAUAAAUAAAUUAUCAUGUUGUUAAAUAUAUAAAUAUAACCUCAACUUAAUAAAAUAAAAAAAAUCUGACUCAGAUAUUAAUUAAGAUUCAAUUUGGAGGAUUUUCACAUGUGAACAUGUGGUGAACAGGUGAACAUGUGAACGUUUGAUCGAUGCCAACCCUCAUCUCGUCGCCGGGCUGUGGAUGCAUCCCAAUUGGCACACGAUUGUCUGCAUAGUUCACUGCAUUUGACCAGAGCAACUAUGAAAGAGACCAUGGGCCCAAAUAAAAAAAUAAUGCACUAUAUAGGUAAUAGAUUGCAUUUAUUAUUUUUUUUUAACCUUUAUUUAACUUGGGACGCACCCUGUGUGUGUUAACGUCUCAAGACAUAUCAGGGGGAAUACGGAGAUUAGAUAGCGUCCUUGAGGAGCUAUUCAUGAGGAGCUAUUCUGUCCUUUCCAACAGAACUGAGCUGGUAUGGAAAGAUACAAGGGACAGAACAGGUACUACACCCAACCACUGUCAACUGUCGUUAUUCACUCCUAAGGGACAGAACA